rnacentral:rRNA from 1 species
CGUGGCGGACGGGUGAGUAACGCGUGGGUAACCUGCCUCAUACAGGGGGAUAACGGUUAGAAAUGACUGCUAAUACCGCAUAAGCGCACAGUACCACAUGGUACGGUGUGAAAAACUCCGGUGGUAUGAGAUGGACCCGCGUCUGAUUAGCUGGUUGGUGGGGUAACGGCCCACCAAGGCGACGAUCAGUAGCCGACCUGAGAGGGUGACCGGCCACAUUGGGACUGAGACACGGCCCAG